GAGCUGGACCUUAGGUGGAGGUGCCUUGGGUUUUGGGGGGGGGGGGAGGGGGUACUGCUGGCUUAGUUAUUGCCCCCACGUCCAUAGCACCUCUAUGCUCUGUCCUGAAGCACCCCCCUCCCCCAAUCUCGCAGUCCUCCCUCCGACCUCCCGCCGCCAGAUAAGUCAGAGCGACUGGAAGGGGCACGCAGAGCCCUGGGGACCAGGUCAGAGAAACUGAUCAAAGAAAUUAGAAAGUCGUGAAGAUGGGGAUGUGAGGGGACACCAGGAGACAGAAGCAGAGAGGCGGAAGGGAGCAGAGCGAGGCCAAGACCGGUCAGAGUGUCCACCCCUCCCCGGGGGGCGCAGGGUAGCCUCGUCCCGCAGGUGCAUCAGAGGCCUCAGCUCACGCUCAGCGGCUGGCGGUCAGGCAACCAGGCCCCCACAGGGCAGCACGCAGAAAGAAAAACUCCAGAAAGAAAGGCGGAGGAGGCCGAGAGAAGCUGGCUGUCUACAGUCCAGGAAGAAAGCUCUCGCCAGAAGACGAAUCUGCCGGCACCUGGAUCAUCACGGACGUCUAGCCUCAGAACCAUGAGAAAUGAACGGGAAGCCAGCUUCCUUGUCUUGAGAGACUCAGACAGCCCUGUGGAGAAGCCCAUUCAACAAAGACCUGAGGCCUCAAUCGAACCACCGGGAACUGAGUCCUGUCACCAACCAUAGGAUGAAGGACAAGGUCCCGCCAGGAGGAGGGGAAAGCGAGAGCAAAGCCCGAGGCAAGCAACAGCCGGCUUCAUAAGAACAAGCAGUUCUGGGUUGCACGCAUCCAUCCGUUAGGUAGGGGCUGGCCAGCA